ACGUCCAGGUAGUUUGGCCAGGAGCUCCUGGCCUGGUUCUGACUGGGGACGUGGCUAUCAAAAGGGACAGUCUGGUAGUUCUUGAUUUGGUUUGGCUGCCUUCUGCCCUCUAGAGUACUCUUUUUUUUUUUUUUUUAAGAUUGUAUUUAUUUAUUCAUGAGAGAUACACAGAGAGAGGUAGAUACAUAGGCAGAGGGAGAAGCAGGCUCCCUGUGGGGAGCCCGCCGUGGGACUCAAUCCCAGGACCCUGGGAUCACGACCUGAGCCAAAGGAAGAUGCUCAACCACUGAGCCACCAGAUGCCCCUGGGUGCUGACUCCUGAAGAUCCCCCUGAAGCAGCUUGCAGAGUUAAUCCGAUUAUGUGUGCAGUAAUGCAAACAUCCAGCUGUUGGUUCUCUGACUACACAAGAGACAAUCUUGAAAUCUUUUGGGCAAGAAAUGAACUAUAGAAAUAGCUGUGAGUGAAACCAUUGGGAAGGAUUGGGGUAUGGAGAGAAUGGAGCAACAUGGGCCCUCAGCACCAUAUCAAGAGGAUGCCUCGUUAUGGGAGAAGCUAUUACAUUCCUGCUCUCUGAGAGCAUCUGACAGUCAUUUUUAGGUUUGAUGCUGUCAUCUGCACCAGCAAGUCACAACUGAUACCAGCAGGAAGCCGUUCUCUUCCCAGUACACCAACCACCAGGGAGUAUCUUGCCAACUUCGACUUCAUUUAGGGGAACCUGGAUAGAAACUAGAGAGAAACCACUGGAUGCAGCCUUUCGAUUCAAAUCCUGGGUUGUGUCUAGAUGGUCAGCCUUUUUGCCGGUGCCACUCAACCACCCAUGCCUACUUUUGCCCUCUGGUUUCAACUGAACUUUCUCUAGAUGCCAAAGACUUCUUUGAAUAGCUAACGGUGACUCAGACAAAAGGAUCAUGAAGAGGUUCGAAUACGCAAAGAAGCCUUGAAAGUGCUUUUCACAAAAGCAUCAAAACUACGCCACUGACAUGUUCGUUUAUUACAUG